GAAACUCACUUAGAGUAAUGUCUAAGUAUCAUUAAGUGAAUACAUAGCUUAAUGAGGGGAACUCAGGGAACUGAAACAUCUAAGUACCUGAAGGAAGAGAAAGAAAUUCGAUUCCGUAAGUAGCGGCGAGCGAACGCGGAUUAGCCCAAACCAAUAAAGUUUUCUUUAUUGGGGUUGCGGACAUAUCAUAACGAAGAGGUAUCGUAAUUGAAGAGGUUUGGAAAGACCCACCACAGAAGGUAAUAGUCCUGUAUGUUAAACGAGAAGACUUCAGAUAUGAUCCAGAGUACCACGGGACACGUGAAACCCUGUGGGAAGCAGGAGGGACCACCCUCCAAGGCUAAAUACUACCUAGUGACCGAUAGCGUAUAGUACCGUGAGGGAAAGGUGAAAAGAACCCCGGGAGGGGAGUGAAAUAGAACCUGAAACCCUGCACUUACAAGCUGUGGAAGCACAUUUCUUGUGUGACCGCGUACUUUUUGUAGAACGGGCCAACGAGUUACGUUAAGUAGCAAGGUUAAGCACUUAAGGUGUGGAGCCGUAGCGAAAGCGAGUUUUAACUGAGCGUUCAGUUACUUGACGUAGACCCGAAACCGGGCGACCUACCCAUGAGCAGGAUGAAGCGAAAGUAAAAUUUCGUGGAGGUCCGAACCCACGAGCGUUGAAAAGCUCGGGGAUGACUUGUGGGUAGCGGUGAAAUUCCAAUCGAGCCCGGAGAUAGCUGGUUCUCCCCGAAAUAGCUUUAGGGCUAGCCUCAAGGUGAGAGAUACGGAGGUAGAGCACUGAAUGUCCUAGGGGGUAUUGCACCUACCGAAGACUAUCAAACUCCGAAUGCCGUCAUCUUAUACUUGGGAGUCAGACUGUGGGUGAUAAGAUUCAUAGUCGAAAGGGCAACAGCCCAGAUCGUCAGCUAAGGUCCCUAAAUGUAAGUUAAGUGGUAAAGGAUGUGGGAUUGCACAGACAACCAGGAUGUUGGCUUAGAAGCAGCCACUCAUUCAAAGAGUGCGUAAUAGCUCACUGGUCGAGUGAUCCUGCGCCGAAGAUUUCCGGGGCUAAAACUUACUACCGAAGCUACGGCAUCAGUAAUGAUGGGUAGGGGAGCUUCCCAUACGGGUUGAAGCAUGACCGUAAGGACAUGUGGACAGUAUGGGAGUGAGAAUGUUGGCAUGAGUAGCGAGAUGUGGGUGAGAAUCCCACAGGCCGUAAACCCAAGGUUUCCAGGGGAAGGUUCGUCCGCCCUGGGUUAGUCGGGACCUAAGCUGAGGCCGAAAGGCGUAGGUGAUGGACAACAGGUUGAUAUUCCUGUACUACCGAUAACCGUUUGAGAGAAGGGAUGACACAGUAGGAUAAGCUAAGCACACUGUUGGUUAUGUGUGCCCAAGCAUUGAGGCAGUCAAAGUAGGCAAAUCCGCUUUGAUAAUGCUGGGAUGUGAUGGGGAGCGAAAUUUAGUAGCGAAGUAGCUGAUUUCACACUGUCAAGAAAAGUCUCUAUCGAGGUUAAAGGUACCCGUACCGCAAACCGACACAGGUGGGUGAGGAGAGUAUCCUAAGGCCAGCGAGAGAACUGUUGUUAAGGAACUCGGCAAAAUGACCCCGUAACUUAGGGAUAAGGGGUGCCACCAUCAGGUGGCCGCAGAGAAUAGGCCCAAGCGACUGUUUACCAAAAACAUAGGUUUCUGCUAAGUCGCAAGACGAUGUAUAGGAGCUGACGCCUGCCCGGUGCUGGAAGGUUAAGGGGAUCUGUUAGAGCAAUCGAAGCAGUGAACUUAAGCCCCAGUAAACGGCGGCCGUAACUAUAACGGUCCUAAGGUAGCGAAAUUCCUUGUCGGGUAAGUUCCGACCCGCACGAAAGGCGUAACGAUUUGGGCACUGUCUCAACAACAGACUCGGUGAAAUUGUAAUUCCGGUGAAGAUGCCGGAUACCUGCGACAGGACGGAAAGACCCCAUGGAGCUUUACUGUAGCUUGACAUUGGGUCUUGGUACUACAUGUACAGGAUAGGUGGGAGGCUUUGAAACCAGGACGCCAGUUUUGGCGGAGCCAUCCUUGGGAUACCACCCUUGUAGUACUGGGACUCUAACCAUAGGCCAUGAAUCUGGUCUUGGGACACUGUCAGGUGGGCAGUUUGACUGGGGCGGUCGCCUCCCAAAAGGUAACGGAGGCGCUCAAAGGUUCUCUCAGUACGGUCGGAAAUCGUACGUAGAGUGUAAAGGCAAAAGAGAGCUUGAUUGCAAGACAUACAGGUCGAGCAAGGAUGAAAAUCGGACUUAGUGAUCCGGUGGUUCUGCGUGGAAGGGCCAUCGCUCAACGGAUAAAAGCUACCCUGGGGAUAACAGGCUUAUCUCCCCCAAGAGUCCACAUCGACGGGGAGGUUUGGCACCUCGAUGUCGGCUCAUCACAUCCUGGGGCUGUAGUAGGUCCCAAGGGUUGGGCUGUUCGCCCAUUAAAGUGGUACGCGAGCUGGGUUCAGAACGUCGUGAGACAGUUCGGUCCCUAUCCGUCGCAGGCGUAGGAAAUUUGAGAAGACCUGUCCUUAGUACGAGAGGACCGGGAUGGACGUACCUCUGGUGUACCAGUUGUUCUGCCAAGGGCAUGGCUGGGUAGCUAUGUACGGAAUGGAUAAGCGCUGAAAGCAUCUAAGCGCGAAGCCAACU
rnacentral:rRNA from 1 species